GCUGGGCACGGUGGCGCACGCCUGUAGUCCCAGCUACUUAGGAGGCUGAGACAGGAGGAUCGCUUGAGUCCAGGAGUUCUGGGCUGUAGUGCGCUAUGCCUAUCGGGUGUCCGCACGAAGUUUGGCAUCAAUAUGGUGACCUCCCAGGAGCGGGGAGCCACCAGGUUGCCUAAGGAGGGGUGAACCGGCCCAGGUCAGAAACGGAGCAGGUCAAAACUCCUGUGCUGAUCAGAAUUAAUCUCUCUCUCUAUAGAAAGGGGAUUUAUGAGAGUGACUUACAGGCUGU
ensembl:misc_RNA Metazoa_SRP Metazoan signal recognition particle RNA